AUGCAGGCAGCGCUCCCCACGCCAUGCCCCCACCUCCGGCGGGAUCCGGGACCGCCGCUUCCCGAGCAGCGCCCCACGAGUCCAGCAGGCUUUGUCCUGCCGCUGUCCUUCCAGGAGCAAGCGCCCCAGGAGCGUGAGUCUACACAAAAGACCCCCAAUAUCUGGCCCGUCACGGUGACCUCUCCACCCGGGAAGGGCCCGGGGGCAACUUCUAGGGGUAGAGAAGGCGCGAGACAAGGGGACUGGGAGGGGACGAGCCGGGGUGUCUGCGGGCAGGGGCGCAGCUGGGGAGAGCGCGCACGCACGUGCACCCCCAGGGGCGCGCGCGGCGCGGGCACGAGGCGAGCUCCCUCGGACCGGAGCUCCAGGGGGCAUCCGAGGACUCCGCCGAGCCGCCGGCAGCGCCGCGCCCCGCCACGGCCGCCCGCCCAACUCCACCAGCGCUCGAGAGACACGCAACUCUCGGGACCACCUCCCCCGCGCCCCGCUGGACCCCGCGCUCCCCUCCCCGGGACCCUUGCGGCCCCGCCACCCCAUCCGCCGUCCAGAAGAUCCCCCCAGUUACAGCAGGCGGCAGCUGCCCUUUCCCGCUUCCCCGGCUCCGGCGCGGCCGCCGUGGGGGCGCAGACAUCCCCGCGCGCCCCUCUGUCUGCCCCGGACCCCAAGCCGGCAGAGAAAAGAAACAAACCGAAACUCACCGACCUUUCUCCGCUGCGGGCUCGGGCGCUUCUCUACAGAGGCGGCGGCGGCGACAACAUCGCUGGGUGGUCCCGACGCGCCCACCCCGCUCAGCCAGACGCGCGCCACGGGCCGGCGGCAGCAGCUCGUCCCGCCGCGAGCCACCGGGCGGAUGCGAACAGCGCGGCGGCGACGCCUGCUGCCCCAGCUCCGGCCCCGCCCGGCCCUUCGUGCGGCGCCCCCACCUGCACAGCCGCCCUCCGCGUUCGCGGUCAGACACCGCCGCCAGGCGCUCGGCACCGAGCGGGAGCUUUUUGUGUCUCUGAGACUCCGGCACCGAAGGGGGUGGGGGGAGAGGCUGGGCUCCGCACCCCGCAGCACCGCCCUCCCCGGCGGCUCCACCCUCCUCCCCGCCCCCAGCCCGACUGGCCCGGGACUGCUGCCGGUCCGUCCCGCAACGCCCACCUCCCCGGGGUGAGGGGCUGCCCAACCAUCCUCGCGCGCUCCCUCGGCUUUGCCCCCAGGGCCCACCCUCGACCAGGACCUCGACGCCGUCUCUCCACCGGUCGAAAGAGGCACCUGAGCUGGCGGCAGGUGUGCAAGGAGGUCGAGGCCGCCGGGAGGAGGCGCGAAGCCGAGUUUUCAGGAUGA
rnacentral:lncRNA from 1 species